CAGCAGCCGCGGUAAUACGUAGAGUGCAAGCGUUAAUCGGAAUUACUGGGCGUAAAGCGUGCGCAGGCGGUUAUAUAAGUCAGAUGUGAAAUCCCCGGGCUCAACCUGGGAACUGCAUUUGUGACUGGCAAGCUAGAGUAUGGCAGAGGGGGGUGGAAUUCCGCGUGUAGCAGUGAAAUGCGUAGAUAUGCGGAGGAACACCGAUGGCGAAGGCAGCCCCCUGGGCCAAUACUGACGCUCAUGCACGAAAGCGUGGGGAGCGAACAGGAUUAGAUACCCCCGUAGUCCCUGUCUCUUAUAC
rnacentral:rRNA from 1 species